CCUACGGGGGGCUGCAGUGAGGAAUAUUGGUCAAUGGACGAGAGUCUGAACCAGCCAAGUAGCGUGAAGGAUGACUGCCCUAUGGGUUGUAAACUUCUUUUAUAUGGGAAUAAAACGUUCCACGUGUGGGAUUUUGUAUGUACCAUAUGAAUAAGGAUCGGCUAACUCCGUGCCAGCAGCCGCGGUAAUACGGAGGAUCCGAGCGUUAUCCGGAUUUAUUGGGUUGAAAGGGAGCGUAGGUGGAUUGUUAAGUCAGUUGUGAAAGUUUGCGGCUCAACCGUAAAAUUGCAGUUGAAACUGGCAGUCUUGAGUACAGUAGAGGUGGGCGGAAUUCGUGGUGUAGCGGUGAAAUGCUGAGAUAUCACGAAGAACUCCGAUUGCGAAGGCAGUUCACUGGACUGCAACUGACACUGAGGCUCGAAAGUGUGGGUAUCAAACAGGAUUAGAUACCCCUGUAGUC
rnacentral:rRNA from 1 species